GACGAACGCUGGCGGCGUGCCUAACACAUGCAAGUCGAGCGGAGAUUUCUUUGGCACUGAGUGCUCUAAUAUUGACGUGCACCAAGCGUCAUGCAGAAACAACCUUAAUAGAUGAAAAAAGGUUUCUGCAUCACGCGUUAAUUAAGUACCGACACAUAAUAGCAAUUCAGGUUAGAGUAUUGAGUGCCGAAGAAAUCUUAGCGGCGGACGGGUGAGUAACACGUGGGCAACCUGCCUUGGAGUGGGGGAUAACACCGGGAAAUCGGUGCUAAUACCGCAUAACAUACACAUACUGCAUAGUGAGUGUAUCAAAGGAGCAAUCCGCUUUAAGAUGGGCCCGCGUCUGAUUAGCUAGUUGGUAAGGUAACGGCUUACCAAGGCGACGAUCAGUAGCCGACCUGAGAGGGUGACCGGCCACACUGGAACUGAGACACGGUCCAGACUCCUACGGGAGGCAGCAGUGGGGAAUAUUGCGCAAUGGGGGGAA
rnacentral:rRNA from 1 species